UACGUAGGUGGCAAGCGUUGUUCGGAAUUAUUGGGCGUAAAGGGCGCGUAGGCGGUUUGUUAAGUCGGUUGUGAAAGCCCGGGGCUCAACCCCGGAGAGUCGACCGAUACUGGCAAACUAGAGUACAGAAGAGGUAGCUGGAAUUCCUGGUGUAGCGGUGAAAUGCGUAGAUAUCAGGAGGAACACCGGUGGCGAAGGCGGAUCUCUGGGCCUUACCUGACGCUCAGGUGCGAAAGCUAGGGGAGCGAACAGG
rnacentral:rRNA from 1 species